GUACCUUUCUCGGCUUUUUGCUAAGAUCAAGCGUAGUAUUUGUUCUUAUUAGUUUAAUAUCUGAUAUAUGGAUCACAUGUCCACAAUAAUGUUAAAUUUACUUUUUAUGGGAAAGAUCCAAAAUAGUGGCUUGCCACUAGGGUCCUUAGGUGUUCCUCGGGCAUUGCACUAUAGCCUGGGUGUGGCACACCCUAA
rfam:Triticum aestivum genome assembly, contig: Triticum_aestivum_CS42_TGACv1_scaffold_000609_1AL